GACGAACGCUGGCGGCGUGCUUAACACAUGCAAGUCGAACGCGCCUGUCCUCUGGGUUUCUGGGGGGUGGGUGAGUGGCGAACGGGUGAGUAACACGUGGGUAACCUGCCCCCUUCUUCGGGAUAACGGUCUGAAAGGGCUGCUAAUACCGGGUAUUCACUGGUCUCCGCAUGGGGUCUGGUGGAAAGGUUUUUUUCUGGUGGGGGAUGGGCUCGCGGCCUAUCAGCUUGUUGGUGGGGUGAUGGCCCACCAAGGCUUUGACGGGUAGCCGGCCUGAGAGGGUGACCGGUCACAUUGGGACUGAGAUACGGCCCAGACUCCUACGGGAGGCAGCAGUGGGGAAUAUUGCACAAUGGGCGCAAGCCUGAUGCAGCGACGCCGCGUGAGGGAUGGAGGCCUUCGGGUUGUGAACCUCUUUCGCCCGUGGUCAAGCCGCGACGUGGGUCGUGGUGGGGGGAGUGGGUAAGAAGCGCCGGCUAACUACGUG
rnacentral:rRNA from 1 species